UACGUAGGUGACAAGCGUUGUCCGGAUUUACUGGGCGUAAAGAGCGCGCAGGCGGUCGAUCAAGUCGAGUGUGAAAGCCCCCGGCUCAACUGGGGAGGGUCAUUCGAUACUGAUCGACUCGAAGGCAGGAGAGGGUAGUGGAAUUCCCGGUGUAGUGGUGAAAUGCGUAGAUAUCGGGGAGGAACACCAGUGGCGAAGGCGACUACCUGGCCUGUUCUUGACGCUGAGGCGGCGAAAGCUAGG
rnacentral:rRNA from 1 species